rnacentral:rRNA from 1 species
UACGUAGGUGGCAAGCGUUGUCCGGAUUUAUUGGGUUUAAAGGGUGCGUAGGCGGCUUUGUAAGUCAGUGGUGAAAUAUGGCAGCUCAACUGUCAAGGUGCCAUUGAUACUGCGGAGCUUGAGUACAGAUGAGGUAGGCGGAAUUGACGGUGUAGCGGUUGAAAUGCUUAGAUAUCGUCAAGAACACCUAUAGCGAAGGCGGCUUUCUGGUCUGUAACUGACGCUGAGGCGCGAAAGCGUGGGGAGCAAACAGGG